rnacentral:rRNA from 2 species
ACAUGGUUGAUAGGUCAGAGGUGGAAGUGUGGUAACAUAUGUAGCUUACUGAUACUAAUAGGUCGAGGACUUGACCAA